GACGAACGCUGGCGGCGUGCUUAACACAUGCGAGUCGAACGGAAAGGCCCUGCUUUUGUGGGGUGCUCGAGUGGCGAACGGGUGAGUAACACGUGAGUAACCUGCCCUUGACUUUGGGAUAACUUCAGGAAACUGGGGCUAAUGCCGGAUAGGAGCUCCUGCUGCAUGGUGGGGGUUGGAAAGUUUCGGCGGUUGGGGAUGGACUCGCAGCUUAUCAGCUUGUUGGUGGGGUAGUGGCUUACCAAGGCUUUGACGGGUAGCCGGCCUGAGAGGGUGACCGGCCACAUUGGGACUGAGAUACGGCCCAGACUCCUACGGGAGGCAGCAGUGGGGAAUAUUGCACAAUGGGCGGAAGCCUGAUGCAGCAACGCCGCGUGCGGGAUGACGGCCUUCGGGUUGUAAACCGCUUUCGCCUGUGACGAAGCGUGAGUGACGGUAAUGGGUAAAGAAGCACCGGCUAACUACGUG
rnacentral:rRNA from 1 species